rnacentral:lncRNA from 1 species
CGUUAAUUAAUGAUCUUUUCCUUCGGUAUAGUUCAGACCAGCAGCCAUAAAAUCAACAAGAAUCCUCCAUAUGAAGAGAGCCACAAUCCAAAUACCUGGUUGCUAUUCAUGGCUCGGCUUCUAAUUACUUGGCUCACAUGGACUCAGGCAAGACUGGCACCAAGAUGAUUGCCAAAAGGCCUUUCUUGAGACCUCUUCAGGGAUGAGACAAGAUAAAGGUCUCAAGUGGCCCAUGAAAGCUUGAGCCUCCACGGUGACACCAGAAUGCCAGUCAAAGGUCAGUGGGUGUCACUGUGAAAACCAGAAACAGAAGCCUGAUGCUUUACACUCCU